rnacentral:rRNA from 1 species
GAUGAACGCUGACAGAAUGCUUAACACAUGCAAGUCUACUUGAUCCUUCGGGUGAAGGUGGCGGACGGGUGAGUAACGCGUAAAGAACUUGCCUUACAGACUGGGACAACAUUUGGAAACGAAUGCUAAUACCGGAUAUUAUGAUUGGGUCGCAUGAUCUGGUUAUGAAAGCUAUAUGCGCUGUGAGAGAGCUUUGCGUCCCAUUAGUUAGUUGGUGAGGUAACGGCUCACCAAGACGAUGAUGGGUAGCCGGCCUGAGAGGGUGAACGGCCACAAGGGGACUGAGACACGGCCCUUACUCCUACGGGAGGCAGCAGUGGGGAAUAUUGGACAAUGGACCAAAAGUCUGAUCCAGCAAUUCUGUGUGCACGAUGAAGUUUUUCGGAAUGUAAAGUGCUUUCAGUUGGGAAGAAGUCAGUGUCGGUACCAACAGAAGAAGCGACGGCUAAAUACGUGCCAGCAGCCGCGGUAAUACGUAUGUCGCAAGCGUUAUCCGGAUUUAUUGGGCGUAAAGCGCGUCUAGGCGGCUUAGUAAGUCUGAUGUGAAAAUGCGGGGCUCAACCCCGUAUUGCGUUGGAAACUGCUAAACUAGAGUACUGGAGAGGUAGGCGGAACUACAAGUGUAGAGGUGAAAUUCGUAGAUAUUUGUAGGAAUGCCGAUGGGGAAGCCAGCCUACUGGACAGAUACUGACGCUAAAGCGCGAAAGCGUGGGUAGCAAACAGG